CCACGCACAGGGCAAACUAUUUCGAAAGGAUAGGACGCAAAGCCUCCGGCCUAAGUAUGCAUAUACAUGGUAGCGGGGUUGCCGAU
rnacentral:ncRNA from 1 species